rnacentral:rRNA from 1 species
GACGAACGCUGGCGGCGUGCUUAACACAUGCAAGUCGCACGAGAAAGGGCUUCGGCCCCGGUACAGUGGCGCACGGGUGAGUAACACGUGGGUAAUCUUCCCUCGGGCGGGGGAUAACAUUCCGAAAGGAGUGCUAAUACCGCAUAAGACCACGGCUUCGAAAGGAGCUGAGGUCAAAGCCGGCCUCUAUUCAUAAGCUGGCACCUGAGGAUGAGCCCGCGGCCCAUCAGCUAGUUGGUAGGGUAAUGGCCUACCAAGGCAAAGACGGGUAGCUGGUCUGAGAGGAUGAUCAGCCACACUGGAACUGAGACACGGUCCAGACUCCUACGGGAGGCAGCAGUGGGGAAUUUUGCACAAUGGGCGAAAGCCUGAUGCAGCAACGCCGCGUGUGUGAUGAAGGUUUUCGGAUCGUAAAGCACUUUCGACCGGGACGAACACCCCUUGGCUAACAUCCAGGGGCCUGACGGUACCGGGAGAAGAAGCACCGGCUAACUCUGUGCCAGCCGCCGCAGUAAUAC